ACUGCUUUUUAUAUCCUGUGGGCAUAAGCGUGAGGUACUGAUUGACCAGUUCGUGUGAGGCUUUCUUUCUUCAAUCGAGUAAAGUUUCAUCACUUGUUUUGUAGUUUGUAAAUGAAAUUUCUAUCUGUGCUUUUUCACAAUGAAGAUUAUAUGCUCUGGUCUUCAGAAAACUGGCACAAAGUCUAUUGCAGAAGCGUUGAGAAUACUUGGUUAUAAUGUGCAUGACUUGUACGAGCAAUUUUUCCACGAAGAAGAAUUAUGGGACAAGGUGAUUAUGACGAUUCGAUCCAGUGAAGACGAAUGGUUUGAAGCGUCAAAAACCAGUAGGAAGUUGGAAACCAAUACGCACC